ACGAGCGCACCCUUGUCUUUAGUUGCCAACAGGUCAUGCUGGGUACUCUAAAGAGACUGCCGUCGUCAAGACGGAGGAAGGUGGGGAUGACGUCAAGUCAUCAUGGCCCUUAUAUCCCGGGCUGCACACGUGCUACAAUGGUCGGUACAAAGGGAUGCUAAACCGCAAGGCGGAGCGAAACCCAAAAAGCCGAUCUCAGUUCAGAUUGGAGGCUGAAACCCGCCUCCAUGAAGUAGGAAUCGCUAGUAAUCGCGGAUCAGCUACGCCGCGGUGAAUAUGUUC
rnacentral:rRNA from 1 species